GAGCUCGUGGCAUAAUGGUAGCGCGUCUGACUCGAGAUCAGAAGGUUGCGUGUUCGGUUCACGUCGGGCUCA
rnacentral:tRNA from 1 species